rnacentral:rRNA from 1 species
GACGAACGCUGGCGGCGUGCUAAUACAUGCAAGUCGUACGCUUCUUUUUCCACCGGAGCUUGCUCCACCGGAAAAAGAAGAGUGGCGAACGGGUGAGUAACACGUGGGUAACCUGCCCAUCAGAAGGGGAUAACACUUGGAAACAGGUGCUAAUACCGUAUAACAAUCGAAACCGCAUGGUUUUGAUUUGAAAGGCGCUUUCGGGUGUCGCUGAUGGAUGGACCCGCGGUGCAUUAGCUAGUUGGUGAGGUAACGGCUCACCAAGGCCACGAUGCAUAGCCGACCUGAGAGGGUGAUCGGCCACAUUGGGACUGAGACACGGCCCAAACUCCUACGGGAGGCAGCAGUAGGGAAUCUUCGGCAAUGGACGAAAGUCUGACCGAGCAACGCCGCGUGAGUGAAGAAGGUUUUCGGAUCGUAAAACUCUGUUGUUAGAGAAGAACAAGGAUGAGAGUAACUGUUCAUCCCUUGACGGUAUCUAACCAGAAAGCCACGGCUAACUACGUGCCAGCAGCCGCGGUAAUACGUAGGUGGCAAGCGUUGUCCGGAUUUAUUGGGCGUAAAGCGAGCGCAGGCGGUUUCUUAAGUCUGAUGUGAAAGCCCCCGGCUCAACCGGGGAGGGUCAUUGGAAACUGGGAGACUUGAGUGCAGAAGAGGAGAGUGGAAUUCCAUGUGUAGCGGUGAAAUGCGUAGAUAUAUGGAGGAACACCAGUGGCGAAGGCGGCUCUCUGGUCUGUAACUGACGCUGAGGCUCGAAAGCGUGGGGAGCAAACAGGAU